AUGCCAACCAUUCCCUCCAGCAGCUUGCUCGUGGCCACUCAUGAGUCCUAGCAGCACUUCCUGGGCUCCAUUUCCCUAACAGCUCCUGUGGAAGUAUGGAGUACCCUGGGGAAACCAUCUCCCAUGACACAAGUCUCCCCACAGCAGAUCUGGAACACAGAUGGGCUAGCUUCUUUUCCUACAAGUCCACUCUCCUAUUCAUGAUCACAGUGUUGGAGUCCUCUGAGCACUCGGAGACUUCCCAGGCCCUAACUGGCAUGAUCACCUGUGACCUGGCUCAGGAAGCUGUGGGAAAGCAGCAGCCUGGUGGCCAGCCUGGCAAAACCAAUUGCAGGCCCCCAUCCUGA
rnacentral:lncRNA from 1 species